rnacentral:rRNA from 1 species
UGCCAGCCGCCGCGGUAAUACGGAGGGUGCAAGCGUUAAUCGGAAUUACUGGGCGUAAAGCGUGCGUAGGCGGUUUAUUAAGUCAGAUGUGAAAGCCCCGGGCUUAACCUGGGAACUGCAUUUGAAACUGGUCAACUAGAGUGUGGUAGAGGAAAGUGGAAUUUCUGGUGUAGCGGUGAAAUGCGUAGAUAUCAGAAGGAACAUCAAUGGCGAAGGCAGCUUUCUGGACCAAUACUGACGCUGAGGCACGAAAGCGUGGGUAGCAAACAGGAUUAGAUA